CGCAUGAAUUAAUAACCAAAGGAGCAAUCCGCUAUAAGAUGGACCCGCGGCGCAUUAGCUAGUUGGUGAGGUAAAGGCUCACCAAGGCGACGAUGCGUAGCCGACCUGAGAGGGUGAUCGGCCACAUUGGGACUGAGACACGGCCCAGACUCCUACGGGAGGCAGCAGUGGGGAAUAUUGCACAAUGGGGGAAACCCUGAUGCAGCAACGCCGCGUGAGUGAUGAAGGCCUUCGGGUUGUAAAGCUCUGUCUUUGGGGACGAUAAUGACGGUACCCAAGGAGGAAGCCACGGCUAACUACGUGCCAGCAGCCGCGGUAAUACGUAGGUGGCAAGCGUUGUCCGGAUUUACUGGGCGUAAAGGGAGCGUAGGUGGAUUUUUAAGUGGGAUGUGAAAUACCCGGGCUCAACUUGGGUGCUGCAUUCCAAACUGGAAAUCUAGAGUGCAGGAGAGGAAAGUGGAAUUCCUAGUGUAGCGGUGAAAUGCGUAGAGAUUAGGAAGAACACCGGUGGCGAAGGCGACUUUCUGGACUGUAACUGACACUGAGGCUCGAAAGCGUGGGGAGCAAACAGGAUCAGAUACCCUGGUAGUCCACGCCGUAAACGAUGGAUACUAGGUGUGGGAGGUAUCAACUCCUUCCGUGCCGCCGUUAACACAUUAAGUAUCCCGCCUGGGGAGUACGGUCGCAAGAUUAAAACUCAAAGGAAUUGACGGGGACCCGCACAAGCAGCGGAGCAUGUGGUUUAAUUCGAAGCAACGCGA
rnacentral:rRNA from 1 species